UUAGAUAGUUGGUGGGGUAAUGGCCUACCAAGUCUACGAUCAAUAGCUGGUUUGAGAGGAUGAUCAGCAACACUGGGACUGAGACACGGCCCAGACUCUUACGGGAGGCAGCAGUGGGGAAUCUUAGACAAUGGGCGCAAGCCUGAUCUAGCCAUGCCGCGUGAGUGACGAAGGCCUUAGGGUCGUAAAGCUCUUUCGCCAGGGAUGAUAAUGACAGUACCUGGUAAAGAAACCCCGGCUAACUCCGUGCCAGCAGCCGCGGUAAUACGGAGGGGGUUAGCGUUGUUCGGAAUUACUGGGCGUAAAGCGUACGUAGGCGGAUUGGAAAGUAUGGGGUGAAAUCCCAGGGCUCAACCCUGGAACUGCCCUGUAAACUAUCAGUCUAGAGUUCGAGAGAGGUGAGUGGAAUUCCAAGUGUAGAGGUGAAAUUCGUAGAUAUUUGGAGGAACACCAGUGGCGAAGGCGGCUCACUGGCUCGAUACUGACGCUGAGGUACGAAAGUGUGGGGAGCAAACAGGAUUAGAUACCCUGGUAGUCCACACCGUAAACGAUGAAUGCCAGACGUCGGGGGGCUUGCCCUUCGGUGUCACACCUAACGGAUUAAGCAUUCCGCCUGGGGAGUACGGUCGCAAGAUUAAAACUCAAAGGAAUUGACGGGGGCCCGCACAAGCGGUGGAGCAUGUGGUUUAAUUCGAAGC
rnacentral:rRNA from 1 species